AGAGUUUGAUCAUGGCUCAGAGUGAACGCUGGCGACGUGCCUAACACAUGCAAGUCGAACGAGAACGGGUUACAGCUUGCUGUAACUGUCAGCUAAGUGGCGCACGGGUGAGUAAUAUAUAGUUAAUCUGCCCCAAAGAAGAGAAUAAUUGUUGGAAACGACUUGUAAUGCUCUAUAUGCCUUUAUCACAUAAGUGAGCAAGGGAAAUAUUUAUAGCUUUGGGAUGAGACUGUACGGUAUCAGCUAGUUGGUGAGGUAAUGGCUCACCAAGGCUAUGACAUCUAACUGGUUUGAGAGGAGGAUCAGUCACACUGGAACUGAGACACGGUCCAGACUCCUACGGGAGGCAGCAGUGGGGAAUAUUGCACAAUGGAGGAAACUCUGAUGCAGCAACGCCGCGUGGAGGAUGACACAUUUCGGUGCGUAAACUCCUUUUAUAUGAGAAGAUAAUGACGGUAUCAUAUGAAUAAGCACCGGCUAACUCCGUGCCAGCAGCCGCGGUAAUACGGGGGGUGCAAGCGUUACUCGGAAUCACUGGGCGUAAAGAGCAUGUAGGCUGGUAAUUAAGUUGGAAGUGAAAUCCUAUGGCUCAA
rnacentral:rRNA from 1 species